UACGUAGGGCGCGAGCGUUGUCCGGAAUCAUUGGGCGUAAAGAGCUCGUAGGCGGCCGGUUGCGUCUGCUGUGAAAUCCCGGGGCUUAACCCCGGGCGUGCAGUGGAUACGGGCUGGCUGGAGGCAGGCAGGGGAGAAUGGAAUUCCCGGUGUAGCGGUGAAAUGCGCAGAUAUCGGGAGGAACACCGGUGGCGAAGGCGGUUCUCUGGGCCGAUACUGACGCUGAGGAGCGAAAGCGUGGGGAGCGAACAGG
rnacentral:rRNA from 1 species